CAGUGUGUUUCGACACACUAUCAUUAACUGAAUCCAUAGGUUAAUGAGGCGAACCGGGGGAACUGAAACAUCUAAGUACCCCGAGGAAAAGAAAUCAACCGAGAUUCCCCCAGUAGCGGCGAGCGAACGGGGAGCAGCCCAGAGCCUGAAUCAGUGUGUGUGUUAGUGGAAGCGUCUGGAAAGGCGCGCGAUACAGGGUGACAGCCCCGUACACAAAAAUGCACAUACUGUGAGCUCGAUGAGUAGGGCGGGACACGUGGUAUCCUGUCUGAAUAUGGGGGGACCAUCCUCCAAGGCUAAAUACUCCUGACUGACCGAUAGUGAACCAGUACCGUGAGGGAAAGGCGAAAAGAACCCCGGCGAGGGGAGUGAAAAAGAACCUGAAACCGUGUACGUACAAGCAGUGGGAGCACGCUUAGGCGUGUGACUGCGUACCUUUUGUAUAAUGGGUCAGCGACUUAUAUUCUGUAGCAAGGUUAACCGAAUAGGGGAGCCGAAGGGAAACCGAGUCUUAACUGGGCGUUAAGUUGCAGGGUAUAGACCCGAAACCCGGUGAUCUAGCCAUGGGCAGGUUGAAGGUUGGGUAACACUAACUGGAGGACCGAACCGACUAAUGUUGAAAAAUUAGCGGAUGACUUGUGGCUGGGGGUGAAAGGCCAAUCAAACCGGGAGAUAGCUGGUUCUCCCCGAAAGCUAUUUAGGUAGCGCCUCGUGAAUUCAUCUCCGGGGGUAGAGCACUGUUUCGGCAAGGGGGUCAUCCCGACUUACCAACCCGAUGCAAACUGCGAAUACCGGAGAAUGUUAUCACGGGAGACACACGGCGGGUGCUAACGUCCGUCGUGAAGAGGGAAACAACCCAGACCGCCAGCUAAGGUCCCAAAGUCAUGGUUAAGUGGGAAACGAUGUGGGAAGGCCCAGACAGCCAGGAUGUUGGCUUAGAAGCAGCCAUCAUUUAAAGAAAGCGUAAUAGCUCACUGGUCGAGUCGGCCUGCGCGGAAGAUGUAACGGGGCUAAACCAUGCACCGAAGCUGCGGCAGCGACGCUGAUGCGUUGUUGGGUA
rnacentral:rRNA from 1 species